rnacentral:rRNA from 1 species
GUGGGGUAGAUGAUUGGGGUGAAGUCGUAACAAGGUAGCCGUAUCGGAAGGUGCGGCUGGAUCACCUCCUUUCUAAGGA